GCUGAAUACAAGGAAACCGUGGAGCGCAGGUAUUUUACAAUCACAGGACAGAAAGCAAGCGAAGAAACAAUUGAGAAUUUGAUAGAAAGUGGAGAAAGUGAAAAUUUCCUGCAGAAAGCAAUCCAGGAUCAAGGGAGAGGCCAGAUUCUUGACACAAUAUCAGAAAUUCAAGAAAGACAUGAUGCGGUGAAGGAGAUAGAGAAGAAUUUGAUCGAGCUCCAUCAGGUGUUCUUGGACAUGGCUGCUCUUGUGGAAGCUCAGGGUCACCAACUCAACGACAUUGAGAGUCAUGUGGCGCAUGCUAGCUCGUUCGUGCGACGAGGGACUGAGCAUCUUCAGGAAGCCAGGGAAUAUCAGAAAAGCUCUAGGAAGUGGACGUGUAUUGCCAUUUAUGGCUUUAUUAUCGUUGUUAUUUUGCUCUUAUUGCCUCUCUUACCAACAAUU
rnacentral:misc_RNA from 1 species